AGCAGUCGCCACGGUAAUACGUAGGUGGCAAGCGUUGUCCGGAAUUAUUGGGCGUAAAGCGCGCGCAGGCGGAUCAGUCAGUCUGUCUUAAAAGUUCGGGGCUUAACCCCGUGAGGGGAUGGAAACUGCUGAUCUAGAGUAUCGGAGAGGAAAGUGGAAUUCCUAGUGUAGCGGUGAAAUGCGUAGAUAUUAGGAAGAACACCAGUGGCGAAGGCGACUUUCUGGACGAAAACUGACGCUGAGGCGCGAAAGCCAGGGGAGCGAACGGGAUUAGAUACCCGUGUAGUCCCUGUCUCUUAUACA
rnacentral:rRNA from 1 species